rnacentral:rRNA from 1 species
AAAUUGAAGAGUUUGAUCAUGGCUCAGAUUGAACGCUGGCGGCAGGCCUAACACAUGCAAGUCGAGCGGUAGCACAGAGAGCUUGCUCUCGGGUGACGAGCGGCGGACGGGUGAGUAAUGUCUGGGAAACUGCCUGAUGGAGGGGGAUAACUACUGGAAACGGUAGCUAAUACCGCAUAACGUCGCAAGACCAAAGUGGGGGACCUUCGGGCCUCAUGCCAUCAGAUGUGCCCAGAUGGGAUUAGCUAGUAGGUGGGGUAACGGCUCACCUAGGCGACGAUCCCUAGCUGGUCUGAGAGGAUGACCAGCCACACUGGAACUGAGACACGGUCCAGACUCC